rnacentral:sRNA from 1 species
AAUCCUAUAUUUAGGGUCUGUUCUGUCGCAACUUUCAAAAUAUCCCUUUUGUUUUAUAUUUAUAUUUAAAUCCUCAAUUCCUUCGGAAAUAUAUAAUAAACUUUCGAAAAUAAGGUAAACAGCGAUAUUAGAAAAAAAUCAAUCGAAACUUUAAAAAAUUAUUAAACAAAUGUUACAAAUACGGAAAAUUGUCCGGGGUCGAGCUGGUUUUCUAUAUAAAAUACCCAAAUAAGGACGAAUUUGUCGUCUUCGAGUCGGAAAGAUACAAUUGCGACGGAAAAAUCACGGAAAAGGUUUGCUUUAUUCGCCGACCGGUGUAUGGACAGACCUAAUAUUCCGCCUUUAAAAAACUUUAGUAAAAUCGAAGAUUUACAAACCAAACAAUAUCGAGGAUAUAUUUAAUAUAUUGCAUAAGAAAAAGGUGCAAAAGGUACAAAAGGUGCAAAAAUUAGGUCGAGACCAACGGAAAAUAUUUAUUUAAAAGAGGAUUUCGGAUUAUUUACGGGAAUCCGCGUUGGAUUUAUCUGAAAAAAUAACGCGAUUGGGACAGUUUUUUAAAAUCCCAGACCUUAGGAUCCGGGUAUAAGGCCAAACGUCAGAGCCGGGCUGGUGAGCAUUUUUGGAGAUGGCUGGUUUUUUUUUUUUUCUUUUUCAGGUAGUUGACGAUUAACCAAUGGGCAAUUGAAAAUAUUUUGUAUAAAAAAAGGGAGUUUGUAAAUAAAUUAUUAGAAUAACGAACUGUUAAUUUAUAAUAUAAGGCCGCGGAAUUUGGGAAAGUUUUUAUUUAUAAAAAGCACAAAUCCACUUUAGUAAAAUAAAAUAAAAAUUUAAAGUUAAAUUGCUGGCGGAAAAACAUAUUUAUUAUAGGUAGAAAAGGAAUUAAAUAAAGUAAAAGGAAGGUUUUGCAAUCGGAAAUAGGGACGGAUAAAUAAAAAACAAAACCAGGCGACGGAACCCAAGAAUUGGCCCAUAUACCGGAUAGCUUUUGGGAGGUAAGCGAAAAUAAAACUGGUGUUAAAAUGUCGAGAAAAUUAAAAACCAGACAGCGAUAAAAGAUAUAUUUAACCCUCCCGGUAUAAUUUAACCGGAAUUUUUAUUAUAUGGUUGGUUUAUUAAAAUCGAACUUCUUUAUAAAAUUAGUUUUUUUUAGCCAAAACCUUUGGUCAAUUGUUAAAUAUUUAUAUUUGACGUUCCAACGAACAAAUAAAGUAUAAGCCCAAAGUUUGAAAACCCGCCGUGCGCAAUAUCGCCAGUCCGGAUGGAAUGCAAUAUGCCAAAUGUCUUUAUAACCGGUUCGCAAAAGCCCAGGCUGGAGGCCAACGGACAGACGGUACGUAUAUUAAUAAUUUCUUAUUUUCGUCGCUAAUUCGGUUAGGAUACGUAUAACGUAAUUAACCGUUAUUUGUGGAAUGCAAUCCAUUUAAUCGAAACCUCCCGCCGGAAAUGUAACAAAAUAUUUCAAAAUUACAGUAACUUUUUCGAAAGUUAUAAAAUGUUAUAGGAUUAAAACCAAAAGCUCGAAUCGAAAUUUUCCGCUGUUUCGGAUACCAAUAUUUAGCUGCGGGAUUGCAUUUCGACGAACGAAAUACUAAAGGCGGCAUUCGGGUUUAAAUUUAAGGAAAGCGAGGAUAAAAACGCCGCGGUUAAGGAAUGGUAUUAUUAAGAAAUUAAAAACAAGGACGUCGAAAUUAUUAUAUUAAAGGAAAAAUUAAACGCGAUAUAUAAAUAGGUUGAACAAUCUGGAAUAAAUAUUGCAACCCCCAAAAUGUAAUUACCAAAAGGCGGAAAUUUGUCUAUUACGCAACGGAAACGCGCUAUUGCCGCAAAAGUAAUUUAAAAUGGAUUAUACGUUUAACAUUAUUUUUUUCGUACUGGGAGAAUGGGAUAAUGGGAGGAAAUAUGGUACGACAGAUGCAAAUAAUGGAAGCGAUAUAAGUAACCCGUUUGCAAAAUAAAAUAUAGGCGCUACGGUAUUAUAUAUUGGUUAUUUUACUAUAAUAGCGUUUGUUAAGGUUAUAUAAUUUCCAUAUAUUUGCAGUGGAAAUUAGUCCCAAGCCGGAACGUGGAUUAAUUUAUGCACCAACCCAAAAACAAAAACUAACAACUUAUUACCUUUAUAACCAAGACUUGAGCCUUUUGUUCCCAAAACCGUAAACCAAUCGCAUUAAGUUAUAAAACCCAAAUAUUUCAAAAACCGGCUCGAAAAAUUAAAAUUGUUUUACAUUUAAUUGGGGUAAAGGUUGCGAAUUCCGAUAAUAAUUUUUAUCCUUUUGGUUUGAGGCUUUUAAUUUUGCAAAUUAAUAUUCGACUUUGUCGUAAUAUUAUUAGGUGGGGUUUUUGGAUAGCCCGAGCUGCUAUUGGAUAUAUUUUGGCUUUCCGUGGUUAUAUGCGACCUCGUGCAUUUUUUGCGCGUAUCGAUUAGCAGGUCCAUAUUUAUAUUUUAAACUGUAGCGAUCGCUAGUGCGGCUCAAAUUGUGCUCUUUUAUCCUAACGUAACAAAUAUAUUGAAAAACCGUAAAAAAAAUGGUAAAUAUAUUUGCUGGGAUUUGGGGAUAACGAACGGCUGUGGUUUGGCUAUUGGAUUAUUAUUGCUGUUUUUAUAUUAAAAUGGAAAUAUGUUUUUUUAUAAUUUGCGUCGGUUUAAGUCGCCGGGCGGAAAACAGGAAAUUGGUCCACGGCCGAUAUAUUUAGGUACCAAAAAAGGGCCUGGUCCGAAAAUAAGUAAACUUGGAACUGGUGUUUUUUUGUAGCAAAGGCGGUGUCCUUAUAUUAACCACUAUAUGGCUUUUAUUAUAAAUAUUUUUUUAUUGGGGGAAAUUAAUUGUAAAACCAUACCACGGUUAAAAAUAAUUAACUAAACCAAAGUUUAUCCUGGCAAUUAAAUAUCUUAUUUUGGUUUAUUUCAGGUGCGAGCAAGUUUAAUAAUAGGAAGAUAAUUGAAAACAUUGCUUUCGAAUUUCCCGUAUGGCCAUAUUGUAAU